rnacentral:misc_RNA from 1 species
GAUGAAGAACGUAGCGAAAGUGCGAAACGUAAUGUGAAUUGCAGAAUUCAGUGAAUCAUCGAAUCUUUGAACGCACCUUGCGCUCCUUGGUAUUCCGAGGAGCAUGCCUGUUUGAGUGUCAUUAAUAUAUCAACCUUCUCUUUUUUGAGUUGUUUGGAUGUGGGGGUUUGCUGGCCUCUUAAAUGAUUCAGCUCCCCUGAAAUGCAUUAGCAGAACAACCUGUUCAUUAGCGUGAUAAUUAUCUAUGCUAUUGAAUGUGAGGGCAGUUCAGCUUUCUAACCGUCCUUGGACAAUUCAUCAUUAAUGUGACCUCAAAUCAGGUAGGACUACCCGCUGAACUUAAGCAUAUCAAUAAGCGGAGGA